UUGAAUACACUUGGUUGGGUUGCUGCUGGCUUUUUGAAGCAUGUGCACACCUACGCCAAUUUUAACCACCUGUGCACAUUGUGUAGAUUUUGGAUGCUUGAGGAUAGAUAUUUAUCUGUUCUUGUAUUCAAGUUUACAUUUAUAAUAUCACACCAAAGAAUGUAUUAGAAUGGUUUUAACAGGCAUUUUUGUGCCUUUAAAAUUAUACA
rnacentral:misc_RNA from 1 species